rnacentral:rRNA from 1 species
UACGUAGGCAGCGAGCGUUGUUCGGAGUUACUGGGCGUAAAGAGUGCGUAGGCGGUUUUGUAAGUUUGGUGUGAAAUCUCCCGGCUUAACUGGGAGGGUGCGCCGAAAACUGGAAGGCUUGAGUAUGGGAGAGGUAAGCGGAAUUCCUGGUGUAGCGGUGAAAUGCGUAGAUAUCAGGAGGAACACCUGCGGUGUAGACGGCUUACUGGACCAUAACUGACGCUGAGGCACGAAAGCGUGGGUAGCAAACAGG